AUUGAACGCUGGCGGUAUGCUUAACACAUGCAAGUCGAACGGUAACAGGCCUUCGGGCGCUGACGAGUGGCGGACGGUGAGUAACGCGUAGGAAUCUGCCUUAUAGUGGGGGACAACGUGGGGAAACCCACGCUAAUACCGCAUACGCCCUACGGGGGAAAGGAGGGGAUCUUCGGACCUUUCGCUAUGAGAUGAGCCUGCGUUAGAUUAGCUAGUUGGUAGGGUAAAGGCCUACCAAGGCGACGAUCUAUAGCUGGUCUGAGAGGACGAUCAGCCACACUGGGACUGAGACACGGCCCAGACUCCUACGGGAGGCAGCAGUGGGGAAUAUUGGACAAUGGGCGAAAGCCUGAUCCAGCAAUACCGCGUGUGUGAAGAAGGCCUUAGGGUUGUAAAGCACUUUCAAUUGGGAGGAAAACCUACCGGUCAAUACCCGGUAGCUUGACAUUACCUUUAGAAGAAGCACCGGCUAACUCCGUG
rnacentral:rRNA from 1 species